rnacentral:rRNA from 1 species
UGGGGAAUAUUGGACAAUGGGCGCAAGCCUGAUCCAGCCAUGCCGCGUGAGUGAUGAAGGCCCUAGGGUUGUAAAGCUCUUUCACCGGUGAAGAUAAUGACGGUAACCGGAGAAGAAGCCCCGGCUAACUUCGUGCCAGCAGCCGCGGUAAUACGAAGGGGGCUAGCGUUGUUCGGAUUUACUGGGCGUAAAGCGCACGUAGGCGGACUUUUAAGUCAGGGGUGAAAUCCCGGGGCUCAACCCCGGAACUGCCUUUGAUACUGGAAGUCUUGAGUAUGGUAGAGGUGAGUGGAAUUCCGAGUGUAGAGGUGAAAUUCGUAGAUAUUCGGAAGAACACCAGUGGCGAAGGCGGCUAACUGGACCAUUACUGACGCUGAGGUGCGAAAGCGUGGGGAGCAAACAGG